rnacentral:lncRNA from 1 species
GAGGCCGGGCCCCACUGAGAGGCUCAGCCUGCCCUGCUUCCCUCCUGGGGCUGUCUCCAGGUUACCCCGGUCUCCUCCCCAAACACAGGAGGGCCUGGGACUGCAGGGGUGGCUGGGCCCAGUUGUGGAUGUGGCCCCGGCCUGUCUGCCCUCCCCCAGGCCUGCUGCUGGUUGGCUGGUGGAUGACCCCUGGUGUCAGAGACCCCCACCCCAGGGAGCAGAACCCCUGCAUGAGCUGGUCCACCAGGGCAGUUGAGACUCCUGGGGAAGUGCUGCCCGUGGGGACUGUGGGUGGAAGGAGGGGCCUCCAGGCCAGGGCUGGAACAGCCAGUCAUAGUCAGGCCAGACACAGAAGGACUCCAGAGACGUAACAACAUGCAGAUCCCCAUGAGGAGAGUAGCUGAAAGAAGACCUGGACCCCAGCCACCCGCAGGGGCCUGGCCCGGGAUGAUGGGGUUUCAGCUGGGGCGGCGUCUUCCUCUACCAGUCCAUGGUGAGGAUAACAGCCUGAUCAGUACCUGUCCCUGAGAGUGGGCCCUGUUUUCCAUGACCUGUUCAUGACAGUUUUGGGUAGCAGGGGGGAGGGGAUCCCAGGAGUCAUGCCAUCUCCAAUGGCCUACAGCCGCUGGCCUUAUGGACACCCUCACAUUCAUCCAGGAGCUUUGAUUGGUGCUGGUGACGGACGAAUGAGAGCAGGUAUACAACUGAAUAAAAGACUUCACGCCCUCCUGACCCCUCAGCAGGACCUGCACUUGGUGCCAUUCAGGCCAAAUGUCCAGAGAUCUCAAACCAAACCGAAGGCCUCCUGGCAGCUCUGAUCAAGGCCCAAGAAGAAAUCUCAGGAGCCACCACCAAUCAGGCCCCCUCCCAGGCUCCGGAUCACGGCACCGAUGGAACAGCAGUUGCUGAUGGCGAAGACAUUGAAGAUCUGAAGGACUCUCCACACUCCUGUUCGCUAUCCUGGCCAAAACCUAAGGAUCAAGGUCAGGAGAAGGUUCUGGCCAAACCCCCUCCCAGUCGUCCCCAUGAGACUAGGGAGCAGCAUUCAGCGAUGGCGGUGGCAGAUAUGACCCUACCCGCUGGCCCUGAAGAUCCCAAGAUCUCCCCGAUGGUCAAGCACAACCAGGAAGAAGAACCGCAGAACCUUCUGCCCUCAACCUCACAGGGAUCAUGUAAUGGGACUGAGGAAGGACUGGAGCCCACUGUCACCAACCCGGCCAUUCCCCUUCUCUUUCCCCUCCCUUCCACUUAGACCCUCUUCCUCCCUUCCCCCAGGGCCGGAAGGCUCCCCCCAACAGCCCCUGACAUCUAAGUGGCGCAGAAGAUCCAGAAUCAUCUUUUGAAAUCCUUUGGUCUGGUUUGGCUGUUGGUGAUUAUUCUUUGUAUUUUAACAUUUGUUGCCUUACAUCGUACACCUAACGCUAAAAGAGCUUCAGUCCAAGAAUAAAAAUAAAGAUCUUUCUCUGUUGAAA